GAACGCAUAUUGCACUCUCUGGUAUUCCGGAGAGUAUGCCUGUUUGAGGGUCUGUUAAAUAAAAAUCGAGGUUGUUGCUGCCUUUUUUGUGUGUGGUGACGCUUCGGAAUUGGGUCUUCUUUACCUUCGGGUUUAAGUGACCUAAAAUUUUUACAUGAUUUUUCGAACGUAUUUAAAUCGUUUACGUACGUUUGGUUAUAUCGAAUAUAUUAGGUGUGGUCAUCCUCAUGAUUCACGUCUAUAAUUUUUUUUCAUUUUUAGACCUCAAAUCAGGUAAGAACACCCGCUGAACUUAAG
rnacentral:misc_RNA from 1 species